UACGUAGGGGGCAAGCGUUGUCCGGAAUCAUUGGGCGUAAAGAGCGUGUAGGCGGCCUGGUAAGUCCGCUCUGAAAGUCCGGGGCUCAACCCCGGGAGGCGGGCGGAUACUGUCGGGCUAGAGUCCGGAAGAGGCGAGUGGAAUUCCUGGUGUAGCGGUGAAAUGCGCAGAUAUCAGGAGGAACACCAAUGGCGAAGGCAGCUCGCUGGGACGGUACUGACGCUGAGGCGCGAAAGCGUGGGGAGCAAACAGG
rnacentral:rRNA from 1 species